rnacentral:rRNA from 1 species
ACUAACAAGGAUUCCCCUAGUAACGGCGAGUGAAGUGGGAAAAGCUCAACUUUGWAAUCUGGCAGCUUYGCUGUCCGASUUGUAGUCUCGAGAAGUGUUUUCCGCGYUGGANCGUGUAUGAGUCUGUUGGAAUACAGCGUCAUAGAGGGUGAGAACCCCGUUCAUGACACGNCUACCAAUGCUUUGUGAUACACUUUCGAUGAGUCGAGUUGUUUGGGAAUGCAGCUCAAAAUGGGUGGUAAAUUCCAUCUAAAGCUAAAUAUUGGCGAGAGACCGAUAGCAAACAAGUACCGUGAGGGAAAGAUGAAAAGCACUUUGGAAAGAGAGUUAAAAGUACGUGAAAUUGUUGAAAGGGAAACGCUUGAAGUCAGACGUGCGCGNUAUUUAUANCACUGCAGGCCAGCAUCGGUUUUANUAGCCGGAUAAAGGUNNNAGNAAGGUGGCAGUCUCGGCUGUGUUAUAGCCUNCUACUGAAUACGGAAUGNNAGACCGAGGGACGCAGCGCGCCGCAAGGCAAAGGAUUCNUCCUUUUCGCGCU